AGAGUUUGAUCCUGGCUCAGAACGAACGCUGGCGGCGUGGAUUAGGCAUGCAAGUCGUACGCGAAAGAGGGGGCAACCCCUCGAGUAGAGUGGCGAACGGGUGAGUAACGCGUGAGAAACCUGCCUUCAUCAGGGGGAUAACACUCCCAACGGGGUGCUAAUACCGCAUGAGACCACGGGAUCGCAUGGUCCUGAGGUCAAAGGUGGCCUCUAUUUAUAAGCUACCGGAUGAAGAUGGUCUCGCGUCCCAUUAGCUAGUUGGCGGGGUAAUGGCCCACCAAGGCGACGAUGGGUAGCUGGUCUGAGAGGAUGGUCAGCCACACUGGGACUGAGAUACGGCCCAGACUCCUACGGGAGGCAGCAGUCGAGAGGCUUCGGCAAUGGGGGAAACCCUGACCGAGCGACGCCGCGUGGGGGAUGAAGGCCCUUGGGUUGUAAACCCCUUUUGUUCGGGAAGAAAUGCGACCAGGUGAACAAUCUGGUCGUUUGACGGUACCGGACGAAUAAGCUCCGGCUAACUCCGUGCCAGCAGCCGCGGUAACACGGGGGGAGCAAGCGUUGUUCGGAAUCACUGGGCGUAAAGGGCGUGUAGGCGGUCAGGUAAGUGAGACGUGAAAUGCCUCGGCUCACCCGAGGAGCGGCGUCUCAUACUGCUUGGCUUGAGUACGGGAGAGGAUGUGGGAAUUCCUGGUGUAGCGGUGAAAUGCGUAGAUAUCAGGAGGAACACCGGUGGCGAAGGCGCACAUCUGGCCCGAUACUGACGCUGAGGCGCGAAAGCUAGGGGAGCAAACGGGAUUAGAUACCCCGGUAGUCCUAGCCGUAAACGGUGAUCACUAGGUGUUGGGGGCAUUGACCCCUCCAGUGCCGCAGCUAACGCAUUAAGUGAUCCGCCUGGGGAGUACGGCCGCAAGGUUGAAACUCAAAGGAAUUGACGG
rnacentral:rRNA from 1 species